GGGUGGAGUCAUCUGUUGUGGAGUGGAACUGAGGUAAGAGAAGCUGAAGAUAAAGGGCUGCGGGGAGGAAUGGGAAUCUGCAGUCUCCCUGCCAGUCACUGACCCAUUAACAUCCUGAAUGAUGGCCCUAUGUAACAUGCUAAAGUGUGAGGGCUGAAAUGUGAGAUCUGACCCACAGUCUCUUUCUCCAGUCGGGAGUAUCUGGAGACGGGACGUGUCAAAAGCAAAAUGGACGGAUCAAAAGCAUGUUUCUAUUGGUCAAUGAUUCGUGAGCCUGGGUGUUUUAAAAGGCGUUCGCCGAGGCAGACGGGCUGGCUGGUGACGGAGGAAGUACGGCAGUACGGCGAUUGUAUUGUAAAAACCCCAUGUAACCGGGUGAACGAAAAGCCGUGUGUUCGGCUACAAAUAAAAAAGAAGUGAUUACUUCGAACUUCUCUCUCUCUCUCUCUAUACGCGAGCGGUGGCACUCACUUUGCCACAGUGGUGGCCCAUACGGGGAGGAGAGUCUGGUAUCGAGAGAAGAAAGCAGAAACGGUUCAGCCCACCAGCCACGCGAAGUAGAGUCCGGGAUGGAUCCUAACCUGAACCGGGGAGAGGUAGCACAGCCUCUCGUAGCGCUGGCGCGGAUGCUAGAGGGGAUGGCUCAGAUGCAGGAAAGGCAGGCAGCGGUGCACGCUGAGCAGAUGGAGGCGCUGCGUGCACAAGCCUCCCUCCAGACGCAGGCGCUGCGACAGCUG